rnacentral:rRNA from 1 species
UACGGGGGGGGCAAGCGUUGUUCGGAAUUACUGGGCGUAAAGGGCUCGUAGGCGGCCAACUAAGUCAGACGUGAAAUCCCUCGGCUUAACCGGGGAACUGCGUCUGAUACUGGAUGGCUUGAGUUUGGGAGAGGGAUGCGGAAUUCCAGGUGUAGCGGUGAAAUGCGUAGAUAUCUGGAGGAACACCGGUGGCGAAGGCGGCAUCCUGGACCAACUCUGACGCUGAGGAGCGAAAGCCAGGGGAGCAAACGGG